GAUGGUAAGCAGACAGGCUAAAGUGGACCUGCAGGUCACCAGAUAAUUCUUUGUCAGGGGCAGUCAGUAUGAAAAAGUCAUUCCCUCUUCUUUGGAGAUUACAGUAUUAAUUUUGAAGGGGUGUUACCAUUACAAUCUGGAAGGUAAGGAUAGUCUAUGUAUGGGACAGGAAGGCAAUAGUUGUUGUGGAGAGCCAUUAUGACAGCAGUAGCCUCACAGCCUGAACCACAAGACUCAAGAUUAGAUCAGUAUAUUAUAAUGCAGAGUUGUGUAUCUAUAGGAAGGAAGAAGACUUCUCCCUUAUGUAUAACACUGCACACUCUCAGGAUCUGGACCAUUAGGAUGGGAGAGACCUGGAUAUAACUGGAAGCAAAAGAAGAUUCAGAAAAAUUCAAUGAGAUGGAAUAAUCAAAGAGCUAAGCUCCAAGAGGAGACAGAAGCAGGUAGAGGGAAGAUUAUUAUUGAAGAAUGUGGAUAUGCCAGAUAGUCACUCCUUCACUCAGGAUGUGUACACAAAAGAAGAGAGAAAAUUAAUCAUCAACUAUAUAGACGUUCCAAAUCUAAGUAUAUGUACUUCCAAUGAGGAAGAGGAGUUUGUCAAGUGGAUAUGGAAAA